GGGGGAAUAUUGGACAAUGGGCGCAAGCCUGAUCCAGCAACGCCGCGUGGAGGAUGAAGGCCUUCGGGUUGUAAACUCCUGUUAGGGGGAACGAAGGGUCACGGGUUAACAGCCGGUGACCUUGACGGUACCUCCAGAGGAAGCCCCGGCUAACUCUGUGCCAGCAGCCGCGGUAAUACAGAGGGGGCGAGCGUUAUUCGGAAUUAUUGGGCGUAAAGGGCGCGUAGGCGGCUUGGCAAGUCAAAGGUGAAAUCCCUCGGCUCAACCGAGGAACUGCCUUUGAAACUGCCGGGCUCGAGGCCGGGAGAGGGUAGUGGAAUUCCCGAGUGUAGCGGUGAAAUGCGUAGAUAUUGGGAGGAACACCGGUGGCGAAGGCGGCUACCUGGACCGGUUCUGACGC
rnacentral:rRNA from 1 species